rnacentral:piRNA from 1 species
UGCUCCAGGAUGGCCACUAAGGCAUUGCU